rnacentral:rRNA from 1 species
GGACAACCUACCCUUGGGUCUGGCAUAAUCCUGGGAAACUGGGAAUAAUUCCGGAUAGGUCACAGAUGCUGGAAUGCACUGUGGCCGAAAGCUCCGGCGCCCAAGGAUGGGUCUGCGGCCUAUCAGGGUUGUAGUGGGUGUAACGGACCUACUAGCCUACGACGGGUACGGGUUGUGAGAGCAAGAGCCCGGAGAUGGAUUCUGAGACACGAAUCCAGGCCCUACGGGGUGCAGCAGGCGCGAAAACUUUACAAUGCGGGAAACCGUGAUAAGGGAAUCUCGAGUGCCAGCAUAUAAUGUUGGCUGUCCAGAUGCCUAAAAAGCAUCUGUUAGCAAGGGCCGGGCAAGACCGGUGCCAGCCGCCGCGGUAACACCGGCGGCCCGAGUGGUAACCGCUUUUAUUGGGUCUAAGGGGUCUGUAGCCGGCCAAGUAAGUCCCUUGGGAAAUCUGGCAGCUCAACUGUCAGGCUGCUAGGGGAUACUGCUAGGCUUGGGACCGGGAGAGGUGAGAGGUACCUUGGGGGUAGGGGUGAAAUCUUGUGAUCCUCGGGGGACCACCAGUGGCGAAGGCGUCUCACCGGAACGGGUCCGACGGUAAGGGACGAAAGCUAGGGGCACGAACCGGAUUAGAUACCCGGGUAGUCCUAGCCGUAAACGAUGCUCGCUAGGUGUCAGUCACGGUGCGACCGUGAUUGGUGCCGUAGGGAAGCCGUGAAGCGAGCCACCUGGGAAGUAUGGCCGCAAGGCUGAAACUUAAAGAAAUUGGCGGGGGAGCACUACAAGGGGUGGG